rnacentral:rRNA from 1 species
CAUGUCUUUUUGAUUAUAAUAUAAAGUCUGACCUGCCCUAUGAUAUGAAAAUAUUAAAUGGCCGCGAUAAUUUGAUCGUGCAAAGGUAGCAUAAUAAUUAGUUUCUUAAUUGGGAACUGGAAUGAAAGGUCGAACGAGAAAAUAUCUGUCUCAAUUUAAUUUAAAUUAGAAUUUUAUUUUUAAGUUAAAAAGCUUAAAUAAUUUUAAAAGACGAGAAGACCCUAUAGAGUUUUAUAUUUAUUUAUUUAUUUUUUAGUUUAAGAAUUUAAUUUUAAAAUUAAUAAUAAAAUAUUUAAUUGGGGUGAUUGAAAAAUUAAAUAAACUUUUUUUAUAGAUUAACAUUAAUUUAUGAUUAAUUGAUCCAUUUAUAAUGAUUAAAAGAUUAAAUUACCUUAGGGAUAACAGCGUAAUUAUUUUUGAGAGUUCAUAUCGAAAAAAUAGAUUGCGACC